UCCUUGUUCCACUCUCUGCCAUCCCUAGCUCCUUUUGCCAGUCCCAUUCUCCUUGCCAAUGAGUCUCAGUCUCUACUCCUCAUCUCAGUCCCACUCUUUAUGAUCAACCAGCCCCAGUCUCCCUCUCUGGGCUCCUUGUAAGAGUCCCAAAUUCUCCCUGACUUCCAGCGCUCCACCCCCAGUCUCAGUCUCCUUGUCCAGCAAACCUCAUUUCCCCCUCCCAACUCCUCCAUAUUUCCAAGUGCUUCACAAAGGAGUUGUUUAGAGAUCAUCUGCCAAGUCAACAGAUGGAGUAAUUUCAGGAGAUGUUUUAGAGUCUUUGAAAACUCAACAAGGCACAGAGGAUCUCCAGCUGGAAUCCAUACUUUAAGGAAGGACAAAGGGACUUUUGCUUCCCUGAGACCCAAAGAAAAGCAGUAUCUUAUUCAGAAGACAAAGUUGUAGGGGUGGCUGCAGACUUCAAGUCAAGAGUAAAGGAUCCCUCAACAGGAGAUUCUUGACAGUAAUUACCACAACUAUACAGACUAAGGCCACGUCUACACUACCCGCCCGAUAGGUGGAUAGUAAUCGAUCUAUUGGGGAUCGAUUUAUCGCAUCUCAUCUAGACACAAUAAAUUGAUCCCCGAAUUGAUGCCCGUACUCCACCUCGGCAGGAGGAGUAAGCAGAGUCGACAGGGGAGCCAUGGCAGUCAACUUGCUGCCGUGAGGACGACCAGUAUAGAAGACGUCUCAGAAAGAAGAUAAAAUCCUCCAAAAGCUUAACAGUCUAGCUACAGAACUUGUAAUUGAGACAUAGUAGAUUCAGGAGACCUUGCCAACGUCUGAGUGCCCAGAAUGGGAGUGAACAUCUAUUUCCUGGAGCUGAUUUUUUUUUUCCAAAGUAAAAAAAAAACUUCUAAGUUCAUAAUACUCAAUAAUGAUGAAUAAAUAAUUACUAUAUACUGAGUGAUUUCUGUAUUCUGAGCAGGACAGUACAGGAAAUGGGGUAAAAUCUGGGUUCCAUUCAAGAUAAUGGCAAAAUUCCCAUUGACUUGUGUGAGGCCAGGAUUUCAAUCAAGGUUAUUGCCUCAAUAAGCUUGCAGUUUUAGGGCACAAUCUUGCCCUCUGAAAUCAACAUUAGUUUUAACAUGGACUUCAUAGACAGCAAGAUUGGACCCCACGGCUGGUCUACAUUACUGCGGUAAAUCGAUCGAACUUA